CUAUUUACGUCCCUGCCCUUUGUACACACCGCCCGUCGCUACUACCGAUUGAUGGCUCAGUGAGGCGUCCGGACUGGCCCAGAGAGGCGGGCAACUGCCACUCAGGGCCGGAAAGCUCUCCAAACUCGGUCAUUUAGAGGAAGUAAAAGUCGUAACAAGGUCUCCGUUGGUGAACCAGCGGAGGGAUCAUUA
rnacentral:rRNA from 1 species